rnacentral:rRNA from 1 species
GACGAACGCUGGCGGCGUGCCUAAUACAUGCAAGUCGAACGCUUCUUUUUCCACCGGAGCUUGCUCCACCGGAAAAGAGGAGUGGCGAACGGGUGAGUAACACGUGGGUAACCUGCCCAUCAGAAGGGGAUAACACUUGGAAACAGGUGCUAUUACCGUAUAACAAUCGAAACCGCAUGGUUUUGAUUUGAAAGGCGCUUUCGGGUGUCGCUGAUGGAUGGACCCGCGGUGCAUUAGCUAGUUGGUGAGGUAACGGCUCACCAAGGCCACGAUGCAUAGCCGACCUGAGAGGGUGAUCGGCCACAUUGGGACUGAGACACGGCCCAAACUCCUACGGGAGGCAGCAGUAGGGAAUCUUCGGCAAUGGACGAAAGUCUGACCGAGCAACGCCGCGUGAGUGAAGAAGGUUUUCGGAUCGUAAAGCUCUGUUGUUAGAGAAGAACAAGGAUGAGAGUAACUGUUCAUCCCUUGACGGUAUCUAACCAGAAAGCCACGGCUAACUACGUGCCAGCAGCCGCCGCCG